rnacentral:snRNA from 1 species
AGAUGCGAGGGUGAUCUGGCUGUGACAUCUGUCACCCCAUUGACGGCCAGGGUUGAUUUGUCUGAUCUGGCUGGCUAGGGGGUGUCUCUUUCCCCCUCACCGCUACAUGUGAGUCUCUCCCGAAGCUGCGUGCUCGGUUGAAGAGGGUGACCUUCCCAGAAUAGGGGAGGAUCUGUCUUUGCUCAGGGGUAUAUGAGUCGCUAGAACCUCCAAAAAAGCUCCCGAGUGCUGGUAUUAAAGGAGUGGGCCACCCCGUCCAGCAAUCCCACUGUUUUUGUGUUUGAACAGGGUGUCACUAAGU